ACAUGGCACAGUGGUGCACGGACGUGCACAUGGCACGGUGCACGGCACUGCACAGUGCACGGUGGUGCACAUGGCACAGCGGUGCAAGUCACGGAGGUGCACACGGCACGGCGGUGCACGGCGCUGCACAGUGCAUGGUGGUGCACAUGGCACGGUGGUGCACAGCACGGUGGUGCAAGGCACGGAGGUGCGCACACGGUGGUGCACAGCACGGUGGUGCACACGGCACGGCGGUGCCCGGAGCGGUGCUGGUGCCUGGCGUGGUGCUGGUGUCCAGUUUGCUGGUGAUGGUGCCACUGCCUGGCACGGUGAUUUCCAGUACGGUGAUGCCUGCUGCACCCGCGGUGCCACGGCCCGGCACGGCGAUGCCCGGUGCAUCGGUGGUACCCAGCACGGUGGUGUCCCUGCCCGGUUCAGCGUCGCGGCGCGCCGGUGCCCGUCACCACAGCGGUGCCCCAGCCCGGCACGGUGACACCCAACACCCCUAGUGCCCGGGACGGUGAUAUCCAGCACGCUGAUGCUGGGCACGGAGUUGCCCGGUGCAACGGUGGUGCGUUGGCAGUUCCCGGCACGGCGGUGCCCAGCGCAUCGGCGGUACCCGGUGCAUCAGCGAUGCCCGGUGCGUCGGCGGUACCCGGUGCAUCGGUGGUGCCUGGCACAGGGAUUUCCAGCACGGUAGUGCCCAGUGCAUCGGUGGUACCUGGUGCAUCGGUGGUACCCGGCACAUUGGUGGUGCCAGGCACGGUGAUUUCCAGCACGGUGAUGCCCAGUGCAUCGGUGGUACCUGGCACAGGGAUUUCCAGCACGGUGGUACCUGGUGCAUCGGUGGUACCUGGUGCAUCGGUGGUGCCAGGCACGGUGAUUUCCAGCACGGUGGUACCUGGUGCAUCGGUGGUACCUGGUGCAUCGGCAGUACCCAGUGCAUCGGUGGUACGUGGUGCCUUGGCGGUACCCGGUGCAUCGGUGGUGCCAGGCACGGUGAUUUCCAGCACGGUGAUGCCCAGUGCAUCGGUGGUACCCAGUGCAUCGGCG
rnacentral:lncRNA from 1 species